CUUACAUUCUGGAGGCCCCAGUGAGAUCCCUGGGUAGGAACCCCUGGUUUGGCCAAGACUCCGUGAUGGGAUCCAGCAGGAGACUCUCAGGCACAAACCUCAGAAAACCUCCGGAGAGUUUAUCUUCCAUACCCAUGAUCCUACUUGGGAUGAUUGCCAACAACUCCUCCAGGCCCUUUUUACCUCAGAGGAGAGGGAAAGGAUCCAGGGACAAGCUGUGAGAUCGGUACUAGGUGGACCAGAAGGCCCCCUAGAUGACCAACAGUGAGCCCAUCUGGAAGCACAGCUCCCAUCCACCCGACCCCACUGGAAAACUAAUACCUCAGGCAGGAGAGAAGCUCUCCAGAACUACCAUCAGCAUCUCCUGGCCAGCCUGAAGGGAGCCUCUCAGAAGCCUACCAAUUUGAGCAAGGUUUGACUCCAAGACCCUUGAACCCCUCUGGGAGGGACCAUUUCCUGUCAUCCUGGUGACUCCCUCAGCAGUGAAGGUAGCUGGACACUCUGCCUGGAUCCACCACAGCCAUUUAAAGGCAGCACCCCUGGAGGAAGAGACGUCAACAUGGCGGAUCGAUCGGAACACAAAGGACCCCCUCAAGAUAAGAUUGAUCAAAGACUAGUUUGGACAACAUGGGGGUUCUUGGGGCUACUGUUCUUACCAGGCCCAAUGGAAGGGGGAUCUGGAUGCCAGCUGGUGUUGUCCAGCCACACUCCCCAGAACUGGACUUGGUCCUUGAAAAAUGCCUUAACGGGAGCUCACAUUGCCACCAUUACUACUGAUAGACAGCCCCAUUUUAUUAUAGACCUGUGUUCUCUAGGGCUUCCAAUCAUUAGUGGUGGAGGGGCUGGAUCAAAGGGUAAAGUUUCAUCUGAAAAGAUGGGUAAAGGGGGCUGUGGAUGGAGGUGUGGAAUAGAUGAUAAAUUGGAAAAAAACCUCCAAGAUAUAGAUAUUUAUGCCUGCCCCAUAGGGAAAAAUAAAAGGUGCAAUGGGACACCAGGAAACCACUGUCAUCAUUGGGGUUGCAAAUCUAUUGCCCCAUGGAAAAAUGAUGAUGCGAUGCGUAUUUGGCCUUGGAAUGACAAACACCAAGUGGUUCAUGUUCCAAAGGAAAAUGUAAUCCCAUCAAGCUAACCUUAAAACAAUGGCAAAAUCCAUAUAAAGAUUGGGAAAAAGGAAAAUCCUGGAUGAUGGCACUCUAUGUGGGUAGAAAGGACCCUAUGACUGACCUCCUCAUCCAGCGUAGCCCGGUAAUAGUACCGCCUAAACUGGUAGGCAACAUUUAUGGGGUCUCCAGCCCCCAAGAAAAAGAAAAGGCAAAAGGAACCUAUAAUGUGUCAUUAGUUGCUCCUGAGUCUCCAAUCCAACCAUACCUAAAAACUCUGGAUGCCACGUACACCCUGUUAAAUGAGUCUAGCUCCAACCUUACUCAAGGGUGUUGGCUGUGUUUGAAUCCACGUCCCCAUAUUAUGUAGGGUUAACAGUCAAUGGCACCUUCUCAGAAGCUGACCAAAAUGAGUAUGAUUGAAA
rnacentral:lncRNA from 1 species